GAUUCGUCACACUAUCAUUAACUGAAUCCAUAGGUUAAUGAGGCGAACCGGGGGAACUGAAACAUCUAAGUACCCCGAGGAAAAGAAAUCAACCGAGAUUCCCCCAGUAGCGGCGAGCGAACGGGGAGGAGCCCAGAGCCUGAAUCAGCAUGUGUGUUAGUGGAAGCGUCUGGAAAGGCGCGCGAUACAGGGUGACAGCCCCGUACACAAAAGCGCAUGUGCUGUGAGCUCGAUGAGUAGGGCGGGACACGUGGUAUCCUGUCUGAAUAUGGGGGGACCAUCCUCCAAGGCUAAAUACUCCUGACUGACCGAUAGUGAACCAGUACCGUGAGGGAAAGGCGAAAAGAACCCCGGCGAGGGGAGUGAAAAAGAACCUGAAACCGUGUACGUACAAGCAGUGGGAGCCCCACCACUAAGCCAGUGGUGAACUCCACAUACGCAUCCUUUGCUGAGGAUACGGUUAACGGAGCGAAAGCGACGUUCAACCUCAAA
rnacentral:rRNA from 1 species